rnacentral:rRNA from 1 species
GAUGAACGCUGGCGGCGUGCCUAACACAUGCAAGUCGAGCGAAGCAUUUUAAAGGAAGUUUUCGGAUGGAAUUUGAAAUGACUGAGCGGCGGACGGGUGAGUAACGCGUGGGUAACCUGCCUCAUACAGGGGGAUAACAGUUAGAAAUGACUGCUAAUACCGCAUAAGCACACAGUACCGCAUGGUACAGUGUGAAAAACUCCGGUGGUAUGAGAUGGACCUGCGGUCUGAUUAGCUAGUUGGCGGGGUAACGGCCCACCAAGGCGACGAUCAGUAGCCGACCUGAGAGGGUGACCGGCCACAUUGGGACUGAGACACGGCCCAA